rnacentral:lncRNA from 1 species
UAGGACUUUUAUUGAGAUUGCACUGAAUCUGUAUAUUAAUUUGAGGAGAAGAGACAUCUUAACAAUUCUGAGUCCCAUGAAUACCAUUUGUCUUCCACUUCUUUGAGUCUUCCUUAGUUUUCUUGGCAAUAUUUUAUAGGUGGUAAGUGUACAAAUAUUUUACAUAUGUGGAUAGAGUAUUCAUAAAUAUUUCAUACUUUGGUACUACUGUAAAUGGCAUUAUUUCUUAAAUAGCAUUUAUAAUUCUUAUAUAUUCACUGAACCAUCAAAACAAAUAUUUAAAAAUAGAUAUUGAGGAAUCUUUUUGUUUGAAAGUAUAUACUAUUGUAGGAUACUGUUUGAUACUUAAUAGGCAUGGACAUGUAUUUCCAUACCAUCUUCAGAAAUCAUUAGCCAUACAUUGAAAUAGACAGAAAAAAUGUCCCAGAGACAAUAUUGCAAAUCAUUUUCUGAAAUAUUGACCGCUAAAAUAAUAUAGUUUAGUAGCUUUCAACUUUAUGUAUGCUAUAUUUGAAUCUGUGAAAAAUGUGAAGUUGUAAUUUUUUCCCCCCAGUAAAUUCACCUCAGAAAAUUCUUGGAAUCAUGGAUGAUGAGGAGGCUGAGUCUAUGUAUUUGUCUAUAUAACUUUGUAUAUUGCUGAAUCUUCUAGGAAUGUGUAUUGUAAGGUGUCCUUAAAGUUAAUUACUGAGCAUUAUGUCUGCCCUAUAUAGUUCCUAGCAUAUUUUAGGAUCAAGAUGAGGGUGUUGUUUCCUUUUUCUUGUACUUCCUAUCUUUGGAUACUUAGGUUUCUUUUAUUCUUUUGCAAUAAAAGUAACAUCACAAUGAAUAUAUAUUACACACACACACACACACACACACACACAUAUAUAUAUAUAUAUAUAUAUAUAUAUAUAUGUAUAUAUAUUCAUAUUUGUAUCUAUACCACAAUUUUCUGUUAUUGACAGUACACAUACAUGCACUUUUUUUAAUUUCUGGAAAUUGGUUUAGUGAGUCAAAGAAUAAAAGCAUAUACAAUUUUUGGAGAUAUUAUCAAAUUUCCCUUCAUGGCAGUUACAUUAGUUUCCUGUGUCUACUGUAACAAAUCACCACAAACUUAGUUGUUUGAAGCAAGAUAAAUUAAUUUUCUCGGAGAUCUGGAAAGAGAAGAAGUCAGAAAUUUGUUUUAUUGGCCAAAAUCAAGGUGUCAGCAGAGCCAUGCUCUGGAGGCUUCAUGGAAGAAUCUGCACUGUACCUUUUCCAGCUUCUCAUAGCUGCCAGCAUUCCUUGGCCUAUUGCUGCCCCCUCACCAAUUUCUGCCUGCAUGGUCAUACUGUCUUCUCCUUUUCUACGAAUGUCAAGCCUCCCUCUCUCCUCUCUCUUAAGGACACUUGUGACUAUUUAUAAGACCCACCCAACAAUCUCAUAUGAGCUUCCUAUUUCAUCAUGCUUAGCUUAAUCACAUUUUGAAGAUCUUUUAUCAGGUAAGGUAAGACUUACAGGUUCAACAAAUUGUAAUUGAUAGCAAUGGGAGCCAUUGUUAAUCAUUUUAUGGUAAUCAUAUCAUUUUGAUCUCAAUGGGCAGUGUAGAAAGUACUUUUUUCAUUUCACAUCCUCACCAACUGAAUGUAUUGACAGACUUUUCAAUCUUUCUCAAUUUAAUAUUGAGAAAUCAUAUCUUACUGCAGUUUUAGUUGUAUCUCUCUUAUUUAAAGAAAGUUUGAGGGGCCAGGGAUGUAGCUCCAAGGUAGUGUGUUUGCCUUACAUGCAUGAGGCCCUGGGUUUGAUGCCCCAGCACACCCCCAAAAAAGAAAGUUAGUUUGUGCCUCCUUUUGUAAUUUUAAAGAUAAUUUAAAUUUCUUGCUAUUUAUACCUUUUAAAUAUUGUUGAUGGUAGUAUUGGAUUUUUAAUGUCUCUAUAUCAGCUUUUAUAUAGAUAGGAAAUCAACACAUUUUGGAGGUGUUAGCUGUCAAUUUUCCCCCAUUGUCUUUCUAGUGGCUAUCAUAUUUUUGCUAUGCAGUAUUGUUAUUUUUAUUUUAUAUAGUCAAUUAUAUCAAUAUUUUUACUUACAAUCUUGGGUUUCAAGUCAUAGUUAGGAAAGUUCUCCCCACCUCCAACUUGUAGAUGCCAACAGGGCUGGGCUCUCUAUAUAGGCUUUAGGGAAGAAUCUCUGCUUUGCCCCUUCUAGUUUCCAGAUUAUUCUAACAAUUGUAAGAGUUUUAGUUUUGAUAUUUAUAUCUAUACCAUUUGGAAUUUAUCCUAAUUAAAAACUUAGAAAUUGGUCUACUUUUGCUUCUUUUACCCAUACAGCUAUCUAGGUAUCACCAUAGCACACACUGCCACUGAUUUGAAAUGCUAUUUGGAUCAUAUUCUAAAUUUCCAAAUAUAAUUUAGCCCUUUGAAAUUGACCACAUAUUAAUUUCUUGUUGCCCAUAGAACUCCUGAAACAACUCCAGUGGAAUAGUAUGUGUUAUAAGUUCAAAUAUAUAUAUAUAUAUAUAUAUAUAUAUAUAUAUAUAUAUAUAUUCAUUCCAGGGCUUGAGACAAGCUCAGAUUAUACUGUCCUGCUAUCGUAGCCUCAUGAGCCCUACUCAGCAACCCCUCUUAGUGAUGAAGAGGAGAUAAGAGAAGAAAUUCUGCCCUUUUUGCCAAGAUACCUUGGUGUAGGGCCACAUGCGAUGGUUGAUCCCUGAAGCAUGAGUGGGAUCAGGAAGUAGCUCAGCUGUUGCCCUUGGGACCAGUAAGCUAUAAAGAAGGAAAGUAUGUAAACUAAACUGCUUAAAACAAAUACUCUAUUUCAUCUCCUUUAAUCUUAACUGCUACAGAGGUUUCCUGUUAUUUAUUAUCAUUAUUCAUAUCAGGGUACUGGCUUCAGGAGAGUUUAAGUAAAUUAGGAAAACCCUUUGUGAUCUUCCUUUGGGCAGGUUCUCCUAAAUUGUCAUAAAGUCUUCCAAUUUGGUCUUCAUGCCCUCUGGGCUCUGAAUGAUUUAAUCUUCCUGGGGGUGGACAUUACAUGUUCUUGGGAUGUUCAACCAUAUUUAAAAAGUAUGGUCUGUUACAUUUUUAAGUCACAAUAUUAUUGAAAUUGUAAAAAAAAAUCUUCCUUAGCAGACAUUAUAUGAAAACUUGGGAGAAACUGGUAAACUACACUUCAGAUACUGGGUUAGUGUUCAUGGUUUGUAAAAUAUACUCACAGAUUUGCAAGCAAGUUCAACAGAUAAUUCACAUAAAAAUAUACAUAAAUGGGAUCUAUCUCCAUUUUGCCUUUUCUUUUAUAAUGAAAGGAGUAUAUUUUGCAAAGAAUUAUAUGUCUUAAAACAAUUUGUUUAAUAUGAUAUGGGUUCUUCUUGAAAAAUUCAUAUGUAUGUUAAAAUAGUUUCAUCUGCUGUUGACCCCAAUCUACAUGUCAUUCACUGAUUUCUCUGAAAGAGGGAUAUUUUAGUGUAUGUUAAGGUGUUCACACUGUGGAGGGGUCCCUCUCAGAGAACAAGGCCUUCACUCUCCAUUACCCCACCCCUACAUAGGCUUCCCAGUCCUUUUUCUUUCAUGCUCUCAUAGUCAUCCCCACUCCAGGACAUUAUGUACACAACUGCCCAGACAUGAUGCAGGUAGUUCAUCCUUUCUGCCACUUCGUUAUAGCCCCACCACUGCUACCUGGUGUUUCAAGUUAUAGAUGCCCCUGAGCAUGUCUUCACAGUCUUCUUUUACACCUACUAGGUUUCUGUGGCAGAAAUAGAAUCAGUCUGUACAUAGAUUCAUAAGGUGAUUUUUUCUAAGUUUUUUUUUUUUUUUUUUUUUUUAAUUGGUGCAUUAUAGUUGUUCAGAUGGUGGAAUUUGUUAUGUAUUCUUACUGGCACACAUAUAACAGUAUAAUUUGGCCAAUAUAAUUCCCCAGUAUUUUCCCUUUCUCUCCCUUCCACUAUCCCCCUGUUCCCUUUCUGCUACUGAUCUCCCUUGGAUUCAUAUUCUGUCUUCAUUGCAGUUUUUGUAUUUGUUUUUCCUUGCACCCACAGCUUUGUAUAGAGGUUUGAUGAUGGAGGAACAUUGGUGCCACCUGGUGACAGAAUUCUGAACUGCAACUUGAACACCCUUAAGUAGGUAGAUGGGAGGGAGAGGCUGUGGCCCAAGACUACCUACAGAACUUUCUGGAAGUUUUUGUGGAAAGGGGGACAUUCCCAGGAUGCAAGGAUACAGACAGCCUUCAGAUGGAAAGUUCUGAAGAGAAAGCUCUAUGUGAGAGGAAUAAAAAGAUCAUUUAAAGUUCUAUGCUUUGAGAUCUCUUCAUGAAUAGCUAGAGAUUUAUAUAAGAAUAAAUAGAACCAGGACAUUUAUUACCUUAGUAACCUGCCUUUACUCUUUUUUAAAUUUAUUUUUUUAGUUGUAGUUGGACACAAUACCUUUAUUUAUUUUUAUGUGGUGCUGAGGAUCACAUCCAGGGCCUCUCACAUGCUAGGCAAGUGCUCUACCACUGAGCCACAACCCCAGCCCCUGCCUUUACUCUUAUUAUGACCAUUUUUUCCCAUUUCAGGGAUGUUAUACUGUACCCAGCUCUUUUGUAAGCAUUUUUAUACAUAGUUCCUGAAAGUAUCCUUUCAAACCACAGGAAAAUAUAAAAUUUUGUACUAAUAUAAAGUAUUCAAGAUAUGAUUAAUUUAUAUUCCUUAUAUUACAGUGAAUAAGUACCUGUAUCUCUAUGUUAUCAAACUUUAAAGAUGUGGAUGCAAGGAGGAAAAACCUACUAAAACUCUCAUAGAAGUCAGCAAAUGAAUUGCAGGGAGAUCAGUAGUGUGUUUUAGUAGCACAUUUCUAUGAUAAAAUUUGAAAUUGCAAGAUAUUUUCAACAUUUUUAUAUAAACCAGUGUUUCCUGAUAACAUGCCCCAAAUUUUAUUUCAUCAGUACCUGUACUGAUGUUUGUAUGCACACUAAUAAAAAUUGAUCAAUCUUAUUAGAUAGUAUAUAUAUAUAUUUUUUUAAUAUUUAUUUAUUUAUUUUAGUUUUCGGCGGGCACAAUGCCAGGCGAGCGCGCUACCGCUUGAGCCACAUCCCCAGCCCCCCCUUUUUUUUUAAAUAUUUAUUUUUUAGUGGACACAACAUCUUUGUUUGUAUGUGGUGCUGAGGAUCGAACCCGGGCCGCACGCAUGCCAGGCGAGCGCGCUACCGCUUGAGCCACAUCCCCAGCCCAUAUUAAUGGUGUUAAAUUUCCAUGGUCUUUGAUUAAGCCAUCUCAACUGUGGAAUUUACCUUCCUUAUGUGGCAGGAAAAGUCCCCUGUCUUCACUUAUCCCUGAAGUAGGUGGACACUUACAACCCCUUGGGGGAAAAAGGAAACUGUGGACUCUGACCUUUUGCAACUUCCUUAAUCUGACAAAGUUCCCCUGUCUGCCAAAAGUAAGCCUGCCAAAAAUAUCUGACAAACUCUUCCCAUGAUGAGGCCCCAAUAAACCCUAUAAAACUCAGACCCUUGUUGUAGCCAGUCACCAUUUUCCUCUUGAAAACGUGCCCCUCCGCUACUUAAUAAAGAAUUGCUAGUCCAUUGAGGUCUGUCUUUGUUUCUUUUCCUUUUUGCUUUCUCUUUCAUUUGCUUUCAGUUCCAUCCUGAUAAGGGCAGAGAAGGCCACUUCCCUAGCUAACUCAGAGUCUUCAAGCCCCCUAUACCUCAGGGAUUGUUUUAUAAUGUAGCUUUUUAAAAAUAAUUAUUUAGGUAUGGCAAGCCCAGGAGAUCAGAAGACCUCUGCUGUGGAGAAGAGUUUGCUACUCACAGUUGAGAGAAUCUUCAAGCCACACAAGUCCACAUAGGGAAGCACUAGUUUAGGUCAGGAGGCAGAGAGAACAGGAGAUAAGGACAUUAUUAUGUUGAGUUCAUCAGGAAGGGACUGAAAUCAAAGUAUACAAGUUUAGGGCUGGCUACAUUUAAUUUCUUUUGGCUAUGGGGUGGGGAGCUGUCAUGAUUUUUCUGUUUCAGUCACUAGGGUGAUUAGGACAGGAAAUUAUUGGCCUGCAGUUUAAAAGCUCAAAACCAUAUAUAUGCUUGAGGGAAGGCCUGGAUGUGUUGGUUUAUAUAUGAAAGGCACACUCCCAGGUGAGUUAUGUUCUAGCUCUAGGAAUUAGCUAACUCAGAAGGGCUUUCCUUCUCUUGUAAGCAAGGACUCAGAUGCCAUAUCAUCAAGUAUGCAGUAAAUAAGGAGAAAUAGUUAAUACAUCCAGCCAUCCCUUCAGUCAAACAGGAAAAUCUGCCUCAUGAUUGAGAUGGACCAUCCACAGAGUCACCACAAGUGUUGAUAUGGGGCAGUGCUCAGGUACAUACUCCUGAAGAGACCUUCAGACCUCCCCACUCAUCCCUGUCUGGGAGAAAUUCCCCUUUCUCUCUCUUAUCUGUGUCUUCUGAGGCCCUACCCCUCUCCACCAUAUACCAGUAGCUCAUUAUUUCCUUUAAAUUCAUGUUUCUUUCAAGGGUGGAAGAAACAUUGCCUUCAGACAGCUUCUGUCUCCAGCCCUGCAAUAAACCUCCACUGAAGAAAAGGGAAGGGGCACCAUGCUUGGUUCUCUGCUGCAGGGAAAGCAAACACAGGGGGAACAGAGAUUAACCUCUUCUACAGUGUGAGUCCUGACACAUUUGCUGCAGACAUGCCACCAGCAACUCAAGGUGCCCAGGCUGGCAGGUUCUCUCCCUGAAUCUGGUAGUAGGCCUCUACCAGAGAUGAACAACCUCUUUGUCAUCUACCUCCGUUGUUAGGAGUAUAUUCUUUGUAUUCACACACAUCCCUAAAGAGGGUGCUACCUGUCACGAGGAUUAAAUGCAUCCAUAUACCCUAAGAGUGUAGCAUUGGGCUCAGUUAAAAAUCUGGUCCUAAGCUCUAGCUUAUUUUCUCUCUAGAGCUAGAAACUCAUAUGGCUCCUUGAGUCCCAUCAUGCAAAUCCUCUUAACCAAGUGGCAGGUCUCAAUCACAUUGGGAUGCCCUUCCCAAUCCUCCCCUGUUGGUAAAGCUAAUACUUCUUUGUUUAAGGCUAUUUAAUAAAUGACAUCAUAACAAUAUGGGCCUUAGAGAAUUGAUAUACCCAUUUGCCACCAAUAGUGUAUCCAUUGCCUCUUUAUUCCACCAAGAAAAAGUGCUACCAGCUUUUGAUUUUUGUGCCAAUCCGAUCUGCUUGUUUUCCCCUGUCCUGCCAGAUUGCAAGAGUGCUCUCAGAAGGUUAAUAAACUUGCAUAUUCACAGGCUUUAUCCACUAUAGUUGCCAGAUUUAGCACAUAAAAAUAAAAGAUACCUAGUUGAAUUUGAAUUUCAGAUAAAAUUACAUUACAUUCCACAUUCACUAAAAUUAUUCCUUCUUUAUCCAGAAUUCAUAUUGUGUUUCCUCUUUUUCAUCAGGCAACCCUCCAUAGGGAGAGCUCUUUGUCUAACCAAUGUGCUCCAUGCAACCAAUAGCCCUAGAUGGAUUCAAAGCAGAUGCCAGGACCAGCCAUCAUCCACAUCAGGGAGCUCUCUGGAUGUAACAGAUGAGUGGAGCCUCCAGAUGCCAGCAGCACUAGAUGACAGACACCACAUGUAGCAGAAAAUGCCCAGUUGAGCCCAGCCACCAGAAACAAGCCACUUAUAAGGAGAAAGAGGUGAAUUAGCUCACAGUUUUGGAAGUUGAAUGCACAACACUUGUAGAUUAGAACUGGUGAAGGUCCCAUGGCAGAUGGCAGUGGCAGGAGCAUAUGCAGGAGCAAGAUUACACCUGGAACAAGGAAGCAGAGAGAGCUGCAUGGGCCAGGCCAGCAAUCCUCUCCUAAGAACUCAAGGACUCGCACCUCUGAGAAGACACAGUUAACCAUGGCAGUUGGUGGAAGGCUCAGACUUGACACAGGAGAGUAUUUAGUGGCCCCUUAAAGACCUGAGCCUUUAAAAGCAACACCAUAGGAAUAGUUAGGGAAUCGGCAGACACAGAAAGAGAAGAGUUGUGGGCCUGCCACCCCUGAAGAGCAGAACAGAAACGUGCUCUUAAAGGGGCUGCUUACUAACAAUGUUGCAGGGAUGGGGCCUCUGGGAAAGCAAGGCAGUUCAAAGACCCCCCCCCACUAAACCCAAUACUUGCAUAAAAGCCAGAAAUAUUUCAGACAUGUCCCUCAUAUUAACAGGCAUCAGUUUAUUAGAAUAGGUGGGAAAGGGGAUAAGGGAGCGAGCAGGUCCUCUCGGAGAAUAAAUGGAUAUCAUGCCUCUCUUGCACUCCAGUUUUAUUGAGGGAUCCCAGAGAAGUUUCCAGAGAGUCCCACCAAGGUUCACCUUUUGACUUUUGACUGACAGUAGAAUAAUAUCAGACUUUCAAGUCCCUGUUGCCAUGACAACAAGAGGUCAUUUUGGCCCAUGCUGCCUGGUUCCAACUGGAUUCAUCUUAUCUCCCUGAGUUCCAGAAUCUGGUGUUAUAAAGAUCACAGAAGUCUCCCCCUUCAGGUUAGCCUGCAUUCUUCUCAUGGACAUCAUUUCAGACCUGCAUUUCUUCUGCAGAUAAUAAGUAGUUUGCUAAGGAAUGUGACAUAUCCUGUCCACUUAAGCCAGGCAGGGCUACAGGUAAAUUGCUUCUUGGAAAAUAAAGCAUGUGGGGGUCAGCACAUUAGACCCAUUUUAUAGAAUUAGUCUCUUAACCUCAUGUUCCCAGCACACACAUCUGUCUGUCCCUAUCAUCAAGAGACUUAAAGGGAUGGCCUGGAUUGUGGGCUCCCUGUUUCUCUUUACAGUCUCAGCCAUCAUGUGAGUCAUUCUUGCCAUACAACAGGAGUGGGUGUGUACAGAGGUUAGAUGUGUUUUUGUCAUGGAUGCUCCUCCACGUGGAAGAAAAUAUCAGGAAUGGAGGAUAAGAAUUCCCCAGAAUAAACUAUUGUAUGGUUGAUUUGACUAGGAUUCUGCCCGAUAAAUGCAUAUAUCAUUAUAGAUCUGCAUCCCAGAUAUAACUCAAAUGUCAUUUUUGGUGUUCCUAGUUCAUUUAGACCCAUGACUAUGGACAGCCUCUGAGUUUCUGCCACAGAUGGGCAAACUAGAUAGGAUGGUAUGUGAGUUUUACAUGUUCCUCUCAGAAGGCUAGCUCAAUUGUAAGAGCACUAGGAAACAUCCAUCCCUGUUUGUGUGUACUGAUGAUACUCGUCUAAGAUAAUUUUUAAAGCCAGUACAAUUCCACAAUUCUCUAAUUAUUAUGUUUUCUCAGGAGUCCUAAAUUGUGAAGGGAAGGACAAGGGAACAGAAGGAAGACUGACUGGAAGGAAGACAAGGAAACAGAACGAAGACUGCUCUGUUUCCAGAGCAGCGUCCCGGAUCCAGGUGUUUGGACUCAGCGGAGGGUGUGGGUGCCCUGCGGUGGUGGGUGAUCCUCCCUGGGGUGUGGGAGAUAAAGGGAUCCCAGACCCAAGUCGCCUCGUUCCUGCUCUGGGACUCGGAGCCCGGCUGACUUGAGAGGGAGAGAGAUGUGGGACUCUCCUGGCCAAAGGCAGCAUGACAUAAGGGCCUGUGUGAUAAUUGAGGGAUCUUAAAUGUCUGUAUGAAUUUAGGCCACUUCUUAUUCCUUUUUCAAAUUUGUACUUAGAGUGGGCCAGGGUGUCCUGUACCUCCUUAAGGAGUUGAACUCCUCAGAAAGAGUGGGCAGAGUUUUUCCCAUUGCCUGAGACUGAGUCUGAGCCUAGUUCCUCUAAUUAUUACAGUUUCUCAGGAGGCGACCUGAAGAGUGAAGGUGUUUUGCUUUUAGAUAAGGGUGAGGGGACAAAGAGGAGGCCUGCCUAGAAGAAUUUCUGAUGCGCAGGACCCUCCUGCGCAGGUUCUGUGCACUGUGGUUGCCAUAGAAACGUGACGUCAUUGUGGCGACAGUGACGACAUUCUGAAGGAGACGGAGUUGCUUUCUUG